GCUCUCUCACCCCUUCUACCGAAUCCCUACUCUCGCAAACCCUUCUCCCAACACUCGACGCUCUCAAACCUUCGUCUCCCAAAACCCUUCUCUCCUCCCUACAAAAACUUAUAACCACGACAUUUUGCUGAAUCUCAUAGAUCGGAACGAUCUAGCGUUAGGUUUUGGUGCUAUUUUUGGGAGAUUUUGCUGAAUCUCUGCUACUAAUGAACAACCGUCAAAAAAUCCGUGUAGGAAGAAGGGGAUCUUAUUUGUUGUAAUCAACCACAACAGGCCUCUUUCAGAUCAAGGUCCUUUCGACAUUGUUUUACAUAAGGUACAGAUCGUUCAUCAGUUCAGAUAUUCAGAAAGGAUUUUUAUCAAGAGAUUCGACUAAGGAAUUAGUGGAAAAUGCACCCUUCCUAGCCAUUUGUCUGUUGGAGCAAGUGAUUUGAUCACCUAAUGACAAUUCCUGAGAUUCGUCAACAUCCACGGUUCCAACAUCAUCUUCCUGGCUACUUAGCCAUUCCUGCAAUAGAUGUGUUGCAAAGAGUGAAACAGUAGUACACUUUGUUACCACUUGAUGCAUUAUGUAACAUGGGCUACCCUCUGAUGUGUGUACGUUGUAACUUCCCAAAUGGUGGUGACUCAUCCACCAUACAUGUGGCACUAAUCCAGACCUUCCAAUUUGGAGGUCCCACUGUGGAUCGAGCCUACCUUGAAAAUCACACUAAUUAAGAAACAUCUAGUUUUAGCCUUCAAAUGGCCAGUUAAAAUAAAAUGGAUAGCAGUCCAAAUUCAAUGGCCAACACCAAAUAAAUUAGAUCGUUUGAUCAGUAUAAAUUUUGGCUAUGCUCCAUGCAAAACAGGCCCAUGAUUUGGAUGGUGUGGAUUGAUGUACUAGACUGUUUGGAUUUGAUUGGCUGUACUAGACUGUUUGGAUUUAUUAUGUUUAAAUGUUGGAUAUGCUCCAUCAAUUGUUUGGAUUGAUGUACUAGACCAUUUGGAUAUGCUCCAACCUGACUAGCAUCUAUAGAGAGGGGUUUAGGCUUAGUGAUAGGUGACUGAGAUGGUCACCUUGUAGUGAGUUUGUAUCAGUAAUCAUAAUAGAAAGAGUGGCCCAACCUUUCCAUAAGUCAUUCCUUUUUCUUUAUUUUUCAGUAAUUGGCUUUAGUUGC